UAGUGCAGCAGAGACGUGGAAAUGGAGGAGCAUGUGAGAGUUGUCAGUCCAAUGAAUGAAAAAUUUACAUUUCAAAAACGCCCCGACGGCACCAUUAAUAAAAGUAGCAUUGGAAGAAGGAGUUUGCUUAAGUUUAGCCAAACGCAUCAACGCAAAGCACCCAGUCGCGAGUGCAGCAACAGCUAACGUUAGCAGCGAAGACGUUAGCAAUUAAGCGAACCAUAGGAAAGCUUUUCGCCAAACUAAACUCCAGGAGAACACCCCCUGACUCAGAAGAAGAUGGGAUGGAGUCUGAAGAGCUGCAGAGCUACAGAGCAGAGCCCAGCAUCAGUUCUGGUGACUGUCCCCUGCAGGGGUGAUAAUGCUCACUCUGGAUCCUGUGAACAGCUGACAGCUCUGAUAUGCUCACUGUGGAUCCUAUGAACAGCUGACAGCUCUGAUAUGCUCACUCUGGAUCCUAUGAACAGCUGACAGCUCUGAUAUGCUCACUGUGGAUCCUAUGAACAGCUGACAGCUCUAGAACUACUGGCCUCCCCAGCAGUCUCUGUACAAUGUGAGAGACUGUUGAGCCUCGCAGGCCACAUAGUGGCUAUGAUCAAGCUGGUCUGUCUCAGCGACUGGCUGAAGAAGAAGAAAUAAGAGGUUCUCUUCACCUACCAGAGGAUCCUACUGACAGGAAGGGACGUGAUAAAGCCAUGCACAGAAGCUACUUACUCACAGACUGCAACUGGCAAGCUAAUGUUACAGAACUUGGCAACUGCCGAUGUUAGCUAACAUUAGCUCCAGCAGCUCAACCAGUGA